rnacentral:lncRNA from 1 species
UAUGUUUUAUGUUGAAGAGCGGAUUGCAGUAGAAACCAGCCGAGACAAAAGAUGCCGGAGUUCUUGGAAAAAUGAAGAGAAGAUUUGGACAUGACACAUACAGGGGGAAGCCCACAGGGAGAAGAUGGCUGUCUGCAAUUCAGAAGAGCAGCCUCAGAAGAAACCAACCUGCCAACAUCUUUAUCUGCGACUUGCAGCCUCCAAAACUGGUGUGUGCUGUCAGAGAUGGGCAAGGAUGGGUGCCAGCCAUUGGAGAGCUGUUCCAGGGAGGGAGCCGGACCUUAGCCAGCCCAGGCAGCACCAGAGAAAGACUCAUCCAACACUGAAAUAGACGGCCCCAGUGUGCGCGUUACAAUAGCAGUCGAGAUACUAAGAAAAUGAGACGUGCUUCAUCUACACCACACACAACAGUAACCAGGACAGACUUGGAAAUGACAGUAAAGAACAAAGUCCGUGAGGGCCAACAGCUUGUGGGGAACUUCAGAGACACGCAGCACUCCACAUAGAAAGCACAUUCCACUCCAGUUGUAAGAAGGUUUGAGCCUCCCUGGUAUUUGUUACGUUCUUUUACGCUGACUACAUUUCUGUGUGGUGAGUAAAACCAUUCUCAUUGUGCAGGUGCCAAAGCUGAGGCCAGAGGGAUUAGGAGAUGGUAUAUGUCCAAGGAUAACAUUAAGAUGUUUUAAGUUCAGUUUAUUUUAUUUUAUUUUAUUCUUUAUAGACAGAGUCUUGCUCUGUUGCCCAGGCUGGAGUGUAGUGGCACAAUCACAGCUCACUGCAACCUGGAACUCCUGAACUCAGGCAAACCUUCCUCCUCAGCCUCCUGAGUAGCUAAGGCUACAGGCAUGCACCAACACACCUGGCUAUUUUGUUAUUAUUAUUAUUAUUAUUAUUAUCAUUAUUAUUAUUAUUAUUAUUAUUCGUAGAGACAGGGUCUUGCUAUGUUGACCAGGCUGAUCUUGAACACCUGACCUCAAGCAAUUCUUCCUCCUCGGCCGCCCUAAGUGCUGGGAUUGCAGGCCUGAGCCACCAUGCCAGUCCAUAAAGUUUUAUUUUAAGUCCUUAGAUGUGGGAUUUCCUUUUUAGAGCAGCAAGUACUACCUGAACUAAAACAGGUGGUCUUGCAACUUGCAAUGGAUUAUGGAAAUAGAUGGCAUCUAUAUUGGUGAGGUUCUCACCAAAACUCAAACAGAAUAAAUGUCAUUUGAAGAACAAAUCUCAACUUUAACUUUCUUUCAUCCAUGGGUAAGUGCUACAUUUUUGAAAAAAAUAUGAAUUUAAAUAAAAGUAAUUUAUUGUGGUGAGAAUAUAUAUUACCUGUCACGAAACAUGUCCUUCUGUAUGUUAACUUACCCAGGCAAAUGAAAACUUUAGUAAAAACAUUUAUGUCUAUAUCUGUCUUCUAAACUACACCUGUGUGUGUGUGCAUGUGUGUGUGUGUGUGUGUGUGUUUUUGAGGGGUUCCUACUUUCUGAUGUACAGGACUCUGAGGCCUGAAUAGUUCAUUGCCAUAAACUGAGUUACUUCUUUUGGAAAAACAUAAAUUUUGUUAUUUUAGUCUUCUUUAACUUUCAUGUGUUUGACUUGCCUUAAUUAUAUAUUGGUAGAAUUAAAUGUUUCAUGAUCAGAAUUUGGACUUUUGCACAUGAGUCCACAAGUGUUGGAAGCUUUCUCAGGUGCAGCAAUGCCAAUCUCCAAAAGGUCCAACUCGGUAAGCCAGUGUUUGUGCCACUAUUUAUGUGUUUGUUAUUUUACGCUUCAAAAAAUAAAUUAGAACAGAACAGAAAAAUGAUACUAGUAACAAAGAUGUUUGUCCCAUCACUGUAAUAUAAUUAAGACCGAGAUGGAAUGGAUCAAUGAGCUGCAUGCGUAAGUCUCCAUCUCAAAUAGACUUUCAAAUGGUUGCAUUAUAAAGGAAAAAAAACUAGAUUCAAUGAAAUGUGUUCAAUAUUAUGCAUAAAAGGCACAAUGUAUUCAGAUAUUUUAUACUAGUUUUCGGCUUCUGGCAACAGAGCACAUCCACCCAGCUACCACCACAGCUAAAACUAUAAUACUAUUUGUUUUAUGAUGUCUUUUAUACAUGCUUUCAAGAACACAUUAUAUACAAAAUAGGUGUUUCUAAUGUGCUUCACUUUUCCUGUGGCCUCCCAGAGGCUAAAAGCCACAUUUGUAGCACAGUUUUCAUGACCGUAGAGGCCCUGAAGGCCUGAAUGUCAUCUCUUCCCCACUGUUCACUCCUUUUACUGGUGUUAUACCCCAACUCUAUGGAACACUAUUAAACAUUUUCUUUGGCUCCA